GCUACUCCAUAUUCAAACACAAGUGCCAGAGUUCACAGACGAUUAUGCGAUAUAACUUCACUCGUCGAGAAUGCUUCAACUUGCGACUGUUCCAUUCCGAUAGCGGGUCAAGGAUUGUACAAGACAAAAGGAUUUCCAACGUGUUUCUUGAAUCCUCUGCCCGAAAGUCUGUGUUCCCCGCGCGGGGUCUGCGGCAUUGCUCAAUGCACAGCGAGCACGAUCAAAGGAAUACACACGUCUCAAUGUGAUCCAAAUUGCCAUCAGAGACAACCGUUCUGCGAGGAAAUUGGCCCUUCCACUUCAGUCCCAGCAGAGAUUAAUUCCUUAUGGUCGCGGUGGACGACGCCAAAAUGCAACAACAGUUGCGGCAGAGGUUUCAUGGUAGAAAUUGCAUCGUGCCAAGAUCAAGUAACAGGAAAACCGGCCAUAGACUGUAUCGGGCCAGGAUCGUUUUGGUGAGCCAACGACCCUCCUCCUUUCAGGAUGUUCCCUCGAAUGUUUCCUUGACCAUGACGAAAGGUGUGAACUUUUCUAGCUGCCCGGACACCUUCGUUAAAUGUUAUUGCGAAGUAAACACCGUUGAUGGAAUUAUGAGAGCGACCAGACUCACAGAGCCUUGCAUUUCUAUCGAAGGGUGUAUCGCGAGUAACUCUGGAACAUUCACUUUCGAAGGAGAACUCGAUCCUGGUAACAGCAUAGACUUGGACGAUGUUUACGAGAAUGAUGAUCGUGAAAGGAAGUUGGAAGACACGUUGUGUUACUCAGACGGGACGGUGGGACGAGUGGCGCGACGCAAUCUUCUGCAAGUUCAGAGCGUGGAGGACGAUUACGUGGCGCGCGAGAAUAGCGUCGUUGGGGGGAAGAGGUUCAAAGACGAGCGCGGUUAUCGUUCCGUUCUGAGAAGGCGGCUAGGCGAUGAGGCGAACUACAGGAACCAAGACGAGGAGGACGACUUGGAGGACGAGGAUGAAGACGGGGACGACGAGAAGAGGGUUUUCUUCGCCGUGGCGAGGCCCGAAGACGACGACGACGACGACGACGACGACGAGGACACGGUGAACGAAACGGAGGAACCGCUUGGCGAUUACGGUUAGUACUUAGCCGUAAAUCCUUUCCUGGCUUUUCUAGAUCGGGUUCAGAGAGUCGGCGAAGGGUCGCCGGGUCGAAGAGGCGGCGAGGUCCGAUUACGCGGCGUUCGAGGGUAAGGCAGAGGUCGGCGAACUGCGGAGGAAUGGGCAUGUGCGGAUCAGGGCCGCCGCGGAUGAUGAGGAGUGUGAGGAUGAAGUCACGGAAAUACUGCAAUAUUACGAUUAUGAAUCUACCGGCGGAGCUAAACAAAUUGGCCUAGCCUUGGAACUGGUUGCAUUCAGUAUCUUAUUCUGGUUCCUUGAAUUUUAAAUUUUAAAUGAACAAGCAGGAUUGAAGAUUGAAGAUAGAUUGAAUCCCC